UACGUAGGGUGCGAGCGUUGUCCGGAAUUACUGGGCGUAAAGAGCUCGUAGGUGGUUUGUCGCGUUGUUCGUGAAAACUCACAGCUCAACUGUGGGCGUGCGGGCGAUACGGGCAGACUGGAGUACUGCAGGGGAGACUGGAAUUCCUGGUGUAGCGGUGAAAUGCGUAGAUAUUGGGAGGAACACCGGUGGCGAAGGCGGCUACCUGGACCGGAUCUGACGCUGAGGAGCGAAAGCCAGGGGAGCAAACGGG
rnacentral:rRNA from 1 species